AUAUUUAUAUAUUAAUAAAUAUUUAUAUUUAAAUUAUAUAUAUACAUAUUUAUUUAUAAAUAUUUUGUAAAUAAUUAAAUAAAUAUAUAAAUUAUACUAUAAAUAUAUUAUAUAUU
rnacentral:tRNA from 1 species